UUUGAUCCUGGCUCAGAACGAACGCUGGCGGAAGGCUUAACACAUGCAAGUCGAGCGCGCCCUUCGGGGUGAGCGGCAGACGGGUGAGUAACGCGUGGGAACGUACCUUUUGGUUCGGAAUAGCCCUUGGAAACGAGGAGUAAUGCCGAAUAAGCCCCUUGGGGGAAAGAUUUAUCGCCAAAAGAUCGGCCCGCGUUAGAUUAGCUUGUUGGUGAGGUAAAAGCUCACCAAGGCGACGAUCUAUAGCUGGUCUGAGAGGAUGAUCAGUCACACUGGAACUGAGACACGG
rnacentral:rRNA from 1 species